rnacentral:lncRNA from 1 species
CACGUGCUCCGUGGGAUCGUACCUGGACCCCAUCCCAGUGUGGGACAGGGAAAGGGGGGCACUGGGAGGACACCCUGGGGGCAGGCGGUGGCUCUGCAGGACCAGGACUGGGACCCUAAAAGCUGGGAGGUGCUGGGGAGGAGCCCCAAGCCCUGGUGCUUCAGCUCCUUGCAGCUGGCCGGGCUGAGACGCAGCGCCCCAAAACCCCCCACUUUGUGCCAUAAGAGCUGUGGGUGCUGGGGAGGGAGAUGGGGUCUGGGCUCCCCGGGUGGGCUCACAGUGGUUUGGGGGCAUGGCCCUUUGGGACUCCUGCGCCACCUCCAUCCCUGCUGUGCAAAGCUCAGCUCCAGGCUGGAGCUGGAGCCGGCCCCUGUGUGCUGGAGGGAGGAGAUCCAGGAGCGAGGCGCAGAGCCCAGGACCAGCAGCAGCACCCAGCUCCCCGAGCGAGGGCAGGACCCCCCCGGGGGGGCAGGGAUCAGCGCACGCUUGGCACAAACCAAGGCACCGAGGGAGAAGCAAAACGAGGUGCGUGGCGUGAAGGCAGCUCCAAGCUGGCCCCGCGAUGGAGGGGCUGGGGGAAAAGGCUCAGAGACCCCCGUAAAGCCCCAGGGGAGCGCCCAGCACAGUGCAAAAGGAGCAAAGGGCUGUCCGGCUUCCUCCGCCCCUCACCUGCACUCCUGCCCUUACCCUACACACUCGGUGUAUCCAAAACCACGGCCCCAGCCUGAGCCUGCAGGCACCAUCCUCUGGGACGUGGACAAGGUGGUAAAAUCGGGGAAGUGCAGCCCCAAACCCUCGUGGUGCCCGCGGGCAGAGGCAGCAACUGAAGGAGCUGAAGGACCAGAGGCCAAGAGCCUCCCCUCACCAGGCUGCCGGCAGGGUGGGACCUUGUGCUUUAGGGUUUGGGGGACCUGCCCCCCAAACCUGGGGGUAUGGCUGGGAGCCACGAGCCCCCCAAACCCCACGGUGCGGGGAGUGAGGCAGAGCUCUGUGCAGCCCCCCAGCCCCAAGGGGGGAUAA